UAUAUGACAAUAUCUGGCAAUUGAGAGUUCCUAAUUAAAUGCCUAGUAGUGUAAUUUAUUAAUGUUGGUGUGCAGAAUAAGAUCUUAUAAAAUGAGAAAACUCACGUGUGCCUUUAACGCCUACUAAGCAUCAGGCAUUACAUAAAGGGGGAAGAAUCUUUUUGGGAAAUGUGUUUUUCUCAUGAAUGGUGCAUCGAUCCCUGAGGACUUGGGGUUUUCCCUGCCUUUGCGGGUCAGCUGGCGGGGAUAUUUGAACCAAACGCCAGGUCACACUAGGCAGUAAGGUAUUUAUUCCCAGUCAUUUUGACCUUCUCCAGAUGGCGCCAAACCCUUAACUAAGUCAUCAGGCUCCCUCCCGGACUUCCGCUAAUGGCCCCACUUCCUGUCCAAGGACCCCAUUCUGUCCGAAGUGAGACGGAACACACGCCGUGUUAGGGAGGUUAUUGUUUUUCUCAAGAGAACUUUCACAGGUGUAUGAAAAUAACAUGACUUGCGUGUAUUUAGAGAUUUUCCCCGUCACCUGAGGCUCACAUUUCCCUUUCAGGCGCCAAGACAGCGAGGUUUUUGAUCAGGCGCGCGCCGCGGACAGCCUCUACCUCCAGGGGUCUUAGGCGGCCCAGGGCAGACCCGGGAGUCGCUGGAAGCGCAAGAUGGCGACGGCGGCCGCAGCGUCGGCUUCGGAACCGGAGACCGAUCCCAAGGCGGGGCCCGAGGCUGAGGGCGAGGAGGACGAGGCGAAGGCGGACAGGACGAGGAGGAAGGUGUUAACGCGCGCCGUGGCCACGGCGGCCUACAAGGCCAUGGGGCCAGCGUGGGAUGAGCAGCGGGAGGAAGGCGUGAGUGAGAGCGAUGGAGACGAGGAGUUCGCCAUGGCCUCCUCGGCGGAGAGCUCCCCCGGCGAGGACGAGUGGGAGUACGACGAAGAGGAGGAGAAGAACCAGCUGGAGAUUGAGCGGCUGGAGGAGCAGCUGUCUAUCAACAUCUAUGACUACAACUGCCAUGUGGACCUGAUCAGGCUGCUACGGCUGGAAGGGGAGCUCACCAAAGUGAGGGCGGCCCGCCAGAAGAUGAGUGAGAUCUUCCCUUUGACAGAAGAGCUCUGGCUGGAGUGGCUGCACGAUGAGAUCAGCAUGGCCCUGGACAGCCUGGACCGAGAGCACGUGUACGACCUCUUUGAGAAAGCCGUGAAGGAUUACAUAUGUCCAAACAUUUGGCUGGAGUAUGGCCAGUACUCAGUCGGUGGGAUUGGUCAGAAAGGUGGCCUGGAGAAAGUCCGCUCUGUGUUUGAAAGGGCUCUCUCGUCUGUCGGUUUACAUAUGACCAAAGGCCUGGCCAUCUGGGAGGCUUACCGGGAGUUCGAAAAUGCGAUUGUGGAAGCUGCCCGGCCCAUGGCUGGCUUCCUUUCCCCUUUUGACCGGGAACAAACCUUUGAUUCACAGCUGGAGAAAGUGCACAGUCUCUUCCGGCGACAGUUGGCAAUCCCACUCUACGAUAUGGAGGCAACAUUUGCAGAGUAUGAAGAGUGGUCGGAAGACCCAAUACCAGAGUCGGUAACUCAGAGCUAUCACAAAGCGCUACAGCAGUUGGAGAAAUACAAACCUUACGAGGAAGCACUGUUGGAAGCAGAGGCUCCCAGGCUGGCCGAAUAUCAAGCAUACAUCGAUUUUGAGAUGAAAAUCGGCGAUCCUGCUCGCAUUCAGUUGAUCUUUGAGCGUGCCCUGGUUGAGAACUGCCUGGUUCCAGACUUAUGGAUCCGUUACAGUCAGUACCUAGACCGGCAGCUGAAAGUAAAGGACUUGGUUUUAUCUGUACAUAAUCGUGCUGUUAGAAACUGCCCCUGGACAGUUGCCCUGUGGAGCCGGUACCUCUUGGCCAUGGAAAGACACGGAGCUGACCAUCACGUGAUUUCUGUGACCUUCGAGAAAGCUUUGAGUGCUGGCUUCAUUCAGGCCACUGACUAUGUGGAGAUUUGGCAAGCAUACCUUGAUUACCUGAGGAGAAGGGUUGAUUUCAAACAAGACUCCAGUAAAGAGCUGGAAGAGUUGCGGUCCGCCUUCACUCGUGCUUUGGAGUUUCUGAGACAGGAGGUGGAGGAACGUUUCAAUGAGAGUGGGGAUCCAAGCUGCAUGAUCAUGCAGAACUGGGCCAGGAUCGAGGCUCGACUGUGUAAUAACAUGCAGAAAGCUCGGGAGCUCUGGGACAGCAUCAUGACCAGAGGAAACGCCAAGUAUGCCAACAUGUGGCUUGAGUAUUACAACCUGGAAAGGGCACACGGCGACACCCAGCACUGCAGGAAGGCUCUGCACCGGGCCGUCCAGUGCACCAGUGACUACCCAGAGCACGUCUGUGAAGUGCUGCUCACCAUGGAGAGGACAGAAGGUACUUUAGAAGAUUGGGAUAUAGCUGUCCAGAAAACGGAAACUCGAUUAGCCCGUGUUAAUGAGCAGAGAAUUAAGGCUGCGGAGAAGGAAGCCACCCUCGCCCAGCAGGAAGAGGAGAAGGCUGAGCACCGGAAGCGGGCCCGGGCUGAGAAGAAAGCGCUGAAAAAGAAAGCAGCCAGAGGCGCAGACAAGCGCAAAGCCGAUGAGGAUGCUGAGAAAGAGUGGCGCGGCGACGAGGAAGGUGCUGGCAAGACACCCCAUCACCCUUCCUGUCUCUGCCUACCUCUGUGCCAGCCUUCCAAGCGCAGAAAGCUUGAGAACAGCGUUCCUGCAGCUGCAGAAGCAGCACCAGACCUGGAAGAGGAAAUGGGGCUCUUUGGGAAAAGCGCAUCUGCAGACGUCACCCCCCCCUCAAAGCAGAAGGAGAGGGCCGCCGCCGCCUUGAAGAGGGACGUGCCCAAGGUGCCCCACGACAGCAGCAAGGACAGCGUCACCGUCUUUGUCAGCAACCUGCCCUACAGCAUGGAGGAGCCGGACGUGAAGCUGCGGCCGCUCUUUGAGGCCUGUGGGGAAGUGGCCGAGGUCCGUCCCAUCUUCAGCAACCGGGGCGAUUUCCGAGGCUACUGCUACGUGGAGUUCAAGGAGGAGAAGUCGGCCCUGCAGGCGCUGGAGUUGGACCGGAAGAAUGUAGGGGGGAGGCCAAUGUUUGUUUCCCCUUGUGUGGAUAAGAGCAAAAAUCCUGACUUUAAGGUGUUCAGGUACAGCACUGCCCUGGAGAAGCACAAGCUGUUUAUCUCGGGCCUACCCUUUUCCUGCACUAAAGAGGAACUCGAAGAGAUCUGUAAGGCUCAUGGCACCGUGAAGGACAUCAGGCUGGUUACCAACCGGGCUGGCAAACCGAAGGGCCUGGCCUACGUGGAAUACGAAAAUGAAUCCCAGGCAUCGCAGGCUGUCAUGAAGAUGGAUGGCAUGACGAUCAAAGAGAAUGUCAUCAAAGUGGCCAUCAGCAACCCCCCUCAGAGGAAAGUUCCAGAGAAGCCAGAGGCAAGGAAAGGACCAGGUGGCCCCAACGUACCCCGGCAGAUAUAUGGAGCGCGGGGGAAGGGAAGGACCCAGCUCUCUCUGCUGCCUCGCGCCCUGCACCGCCCCAGCACCACCGGAGCUCAGGCCGAGAAUGGCCCUGCCCUGAAGCCAGCGGUCACCACCUCAGAGGCCACUGAGGCUCCCAAGAUGUCCAAUGCUGAUUUUGCCAAGCUGCUUCUGAGAAAGUGAACGGGACUCAGAGAAGGGAGAUGCCUUACUUCAUGCUGGCCGGGAGGACACCAUCUCCCAGCUGUACCUGGGUACGGAAGGGCCCAAGGCAGCGCAGUUUCCCCUGGUGUCGACAGAAAGGGAACGGGUGUCCGAGCAGAGAGGCUUCACAUGUUCCCUCACAUUGAGGGUGACAGCAGGAAAACAGUCACUCCAUGACUGGGCACCAGCGCGGAGUUGCCCUUGGGGAUGGACAUGACCUUCCUCACUUUGUCGUCGAUGAUGCUGAAGUACCUCUGGUCGAUCUCCUCCACCAGCGGCAGCGUCCGGUCCCGGCUGACCAGCGCUUUCUCGUGGUAGGGCGAGAUGGUCAGCGCUCUGGUGUACAAGAAGUCUGCCUGGAUGAUGUCCUUUUCCUCUUCGGAGAAGAUGCCAAACUCGGUGAGCGCAUCCACCGAGUCUGGGUCCAUGCUCAGGGCGUGCAAGAAGAGCUUGUGGGCCUUCUUCCGCUUGCCCUGGCGUUUCAUUUCCAGGGCUUGGUGCAGAGCUGCUUUGGCUUCCAACCGAGCGGCUAGAAAAGAGCCAAAGGAGCAUUAUCAGGGAGGGCAGGGAGUGGCCAAGGACACUGAGGUGACCUGUCAGGGGAAGACAUAGCCUUGGGGUUGUUCUAGGCAGGCUGCUCAUGCCCAGUGCCACUGCACGUAUGGAUGUGGUGGUUUUCCAUUUGUCCCCAGAGCCAUUCUCUGCACCCCAGGAGGUACUACCUGGCCCCCUGCCUUCAACUGCCAUAUUGAGUGGCUGUGACCCUGGGGCCACAACUCCCAUCACUGGGCUCUCCCUGCAUCUUCUCCAGCUCUUGGCUGUUCUGGUGAUCCAUCUGAUGGUGCCCCUGCCGCUAGGCCAGGCUGGGAAUAACUCCCCACGGGUGCUAGCUCCCUAGGCCUCCCCAUUCCCGGGCCCUUUCAUUCCUUUCAUCUUCAGCCACACCUGCUUGACAUCUAGUCUUCCUUCCACCGUCCCCCAACGCCCCACUCCCCACCCUCCGGAAACCCAGUAUCAGUAUCAGCCACACACACUGGGCUUCUUUUAGUUCCUCAAGUGCCCAGGCUCUCCUACCCUCUGGUCUCCGCUGGAGCACUCUCCCCUCACAACUUCCACUGGGUCACUCCUGCUUACACUUGGUCUCAGCUUGGGCACCUCCUCCUCCAGGGAGCCUUCCUGGUGUGCUCCUGUGACCCCUUCGCUCCCCCAUCACCACAUGGUGGCGCUGUACCUGUCACCUGUCUGCUUAUAUAGGCUGGCUGGGAGGCCAGGGCUGACUUCUUCACUGUAAUACCCGUGCCCUGCCCACAGGACAUGGUAGACACUAAACAUCUAUCCCAGUGGCUCUCAACCUUGGCUGCACACUAGAAUCACCUGGGAAUCUUUUUAAAAUCCUGAUUUCUGGGCCUCAGAAGAGAGUAAUGUCAGUAUCGUGGGGGAGUGAGAGGACUCCAUUGCUUCUCCCAUAUAAUGUACAAAAAAACCACUGUAACUCAACAAAGGAUCACCCACUCAACACACAAAUGCACCUAAAAGAUCCACGCACAGGAACAUCUGAGGAUGGGAAGUAGGGGAGGUGGGACAGAGGAAGGACAGGGACGGAGACGAAGUUCAGUGUCCACUGUGGCUCCAGCGAGUGAGGUAGGUAGAGAUGGAGAAGUGUGUGCAGCCUGCAGUGUAAGGGGCAGGGCAGGUUCCCUCCAGGAAAGAACAUCGCCCUUCCCCGCCGCCCGUCUAGGCUAAGCCAGGUAGAGGUAGCUGGGAAGCCUUAACACAGUGGUGCCCACCCUCUGCCGCGGGGUGGGGGCGGUGGGGGGAACUGAGCUGUGAGGCCGCAAACUUGUCUCCCCUGCCCCAGACACCCUGGCAGAACCCGGGAAAGGAAGCUGGGAAAUGAAAGUCCCUGCAUCCCAACAAUUUGGGGAUGAGGCAGAAGUGCAGAGUGGGCGUCAUCUACACAGCAUGGCACUGGCAGGAAAACACAGACCAAUGGAGCCGGGAUUGAGAGUCCAGAAAUAAGCCCACACAUACAGGGUAUCCCCCCAAAAUAUAUACGCACAACGUUUGUGAUUCCAUUACACUUUGAAAAUGAAAUGUGUUUUCAUAAACACUGCCUUUAUAAUUAUGCCAAGUGUGUAUGCAUUUUGGAGGGACACCCUAUAUAUAUAUGGACAACUAAUUUUUGUAAAAGAAGCCAAAACAUACACUGGAGGGAAGGAAAGUCUCUUCAAUAAAUGACACUGGGAAGACUAGAAAGCCACAUGCCAAAGAAUGAAACUGCUAUCUGAGACCAUACACAAAACGUAACUAAAGUGGAUUAAAGACUUGAAUAUAAGACCUGAAACAAUAAAAUACAGUCAAACCUCGGUUCUCAAAUGUCUCUCAUCUCGAAUAAUUUGGUUUCCAGCCAGUUGUUCACAGAAAAAGUCUUGGUUUUCUACCUGACAACCCUUCCAUGCUGAUACCGCAGCAUGACAAAAAGCAUCUCUUAAGCAACAAAGGAGAGAAUGCUUUUGUUGCUGGCGAAAUGGACAGUUAGCACAAUUUCAAAACAUAAAGAGGCCAUCAACAGGGCUGAUGUGUGAAAGUGCUCACAGAACAACCACCAGGCAAUUGAAUAGGUAGAAAAACUUGGUAACUGGAUAAAUGAGAAGCAGGUGGUAAUAGCAUUGUGGAGGCAGUGGUAUAGUUUAAGGCUAGUAGGGGGUGAUUUGAUAAAUUUAAGAAAAGUAUUUACAGAUUAAACAGUCCAUUAGAUAUGUACUGUGUAUAAGAAAGGUAAAACAAUCAUUUGGGGAUCUGGAACAGACAAUUCAAUUUACAUUAUUUCUAAUGGGGAAAAAUGAUUCGGUUUUCGAACAACUCGCUUCUCAAGCACCUUCUGGAACUAACUGAGUUCGAGAACAGAGGUUCCACUUAUAUACAAAAAAUAUGGGCACUAAACUUACAGACCUUGGUCUCAGGGGUUUCUGUGAACUUGACCCCAAUGGUAAGGGAAGUAAAAUCAAAUAAAGUGAAAGGUACUGCAGCAAACCAAAAAGCUGCACAGCAAAAGAAACCACAAAAACAAAAGGCAACCAACCGAAUGGGAGACGAUAUUUACAAAUCACACCCCCAAUACCGGGCUAACAUGCAAACUAUAUAAAGAACUCAUACAAUCCAACAACAACAAACACCUGGAUUAAAACAUGGGCAGAGGACCUGAAUAGACGCUUUCCAAGGAAGACAUAAGAGCCAACAGAUACAUGAAAGGAUGCUCAACAUCACUAGUUAUAAGGGAAACGCAAAUCAAAACUACGAGAUACCAUCUCACACCUGUUAACAGUGGCUAUUACCAAAAAGAAGAAAUAAAAGUUGUAGAGGGUGUGGAGAGGGAGCCCUCUCCUGCUGGUGGGACUAUAAGCUGGUGCCGCCACUAUGGAAACCAGUACGGAAAGUCCUCAAAAAAUUAUGAAUAGAGCUACCAUAUGACCCAGCAAUCCCUCUUCUGGGAAUCUACCCAAAAAAUUUGAAAACAACUUAUUCAUAGAUAUUUGUAGUCCUAUGUUCACUGCUGCAUUAUUCACAAUAGCUAAGACAUGGAAACAGUCCAAGUGUCCUUUGACGGAUGAAUGGGUAAAGAUAUGGUACAUACAUACAAUACAUACACACUUAACCGUAAAAGAGAUGAAAUAUUGCCAUUUGCCAUAGCAUGGAGGGAUCUUGAGAGUAUCAUGCUAAGUGAAUAUCAGAUGGAAAAGGACAAGAACUGUAUAAAUUCGCUCAUAUGGGGGAUAUAAAACAAAAAGCAACAAAUGAACAAACAAAAACUCAUGCAGACAACAGAAUGGUGGUUCCCAAAGGGGAAGGGGCAGUGGGAGGACAAAGAGGGUGAAGGGGGUCAAAUACAUGGUGACAAAGAGAGACCAGACUGUGGGUGGGGAGCACACAACCGAAUAUACAGAUGUCGUAUCAUUCAUUGUACACCUGAAGUUUAUGUUACCAAUGUUUCCCCAAUAAAUAUAAUUUAAAAGUGUGAA